CCUACGGGAGGCUGCAGUGGGGAAUAUUGGACAAUGGGGGCAACCCUGAUCCAGCCAUGCCGCGUGUGUGAAGAAGGCCCUCGGGUUGUAAAGCACUUUCAGUGAGGAAGAACGCCUGGUGGUUAAUACCCAUCAGGAAAGACAUCACUCACAGAAGAAGCACCGGCUAACUCCGUGCCAGCAGCCGCGGUAAUACGGAGGGUGCGAGCGGUAAUCGGAAUUACUGGGCGUAAAGCGCGCGUAGGUGGCUUGAUAAGCCGGUUGUGAAAGCCCCGGGCUCAACCUGGGAACGGCAUCCGGAACUGUCAAGCUAGAGUGCAGGAGAGGAAGGUAGAAUUCCCGGUGUAGCGGUGAAAUGCGUAGAGAUCGGGAGGAAUACCAGUGGCGAAGGCGGCCUUCUGGACUGACACUGACACUGAGGUGCGAAAGCGUGGGUAGCAAACAGGAUUAGAUACCCCAGUAGUC
rnacentral:rRNA from 1 species